AUGGGAAAGAGUGUCCAGGCAGAAGGACCUCAAGGAACUGGAGACACUGGUGAUGACCGAAGCCCUGAGAACAGGGGAGCGCCGUGCAGCAUGAGGCUGGUGAGGUGCCUGAAAUUUUCAAGACUCAUACAUAGCGUAUGUAGCAGCUGCUGCUGGAAUUCCACCCAUGUGCCCUCAGAGCCCCAUUGUCAUGCACUCCAGCCCAACUCCUGACAGCCUGCACAGCAUCUUUGUCAGCAGGUUGCCUGCAGGCUUCCAGAACUCACCGGCACAUGUGCACGAGGUAGACUGGAAGUACCUUGGAUUAACUGCCUCCGUCACCACUCUGCAACAGCCCUUACUCAAUGACUGACAGGUGUGGGAGUAAGGAUACCUCAGUUCCCUCACCCCUUGGCCAAGAUAAUUUCAAGGCAUGGCUUUACAUCCUUUCCAGACCUUCCUCUGAAGGUUAAGGUUCAGUCACCAGCUGCGGUAGCUGGCUUGACAACAUACACUUUCGGGGUUGACUUCUUACUUGGACUAAUUCUCCAAUUUCCUCCUGGCGUCCCUAUGGCUCCCAAACAUAAUUGUGCAUCCUCAAACCUUGAUCAGGGAAUGCUUCUGCAGAAAACCCGACUAAGAGACUACACUGGCAAUUGCAGUUUAAUUUCUUUAAAGGAGGUUGGUCGAAUUUGUAAGUGAUAUUUACAUUAUCAAAAGAGAUGUUGAAAAAUCUGCCUAUGAUCUAAUAGAUGAUUUUAGUAAAUAGAGCAUUAAGCAAAGCACAAGUAUUUGUGGCUGUUUGUAACCAGGCACAAACGUCCCUCAGACAUUAAAGAAUAUAUCAACAUCUGAGAGUAAAUCUCCUAAUCCACUUUCUAGAAACGGCUCAAAUGUUAGAGUUUCGUGGAAUCCUCUAGGGUGAAUUAGCUAUUCCAUUCUCUCUGCUCUCACAGCAUUUGAUUCAUAUUUCUGAAACAGCAUAUACCGUGCUGUAUUGUAAUUGAUCUGUUUACAUAAUACGUCUCCAAGAUUACAUUCAGAGUUCCUCAAAGGCAAAGAAUAAGUCUUGUUAGCCUUUGUCAUCCCCCCACCCUGAUCUGGCCCUGCCACACUGUUGGCUGCAAUAUUUAGUUAUUGAAAAAAAAAUGAAUGAAUAAAUGAAUGAAUUAAUAAAGAGACA
rnacentral:lncRNA from 1 species